rnacentral:rRNA from 1 species
UACGUAGGGUCCGAGCGUUAAUCGGAAUUACUGGGCGUAAAGCGUGCGCAGGCGGUCUUGUAAGCCAGAUGUGAAAGCCCCGGGCUCAACCUGGGAACUGCAUUUGGGACUGCAAGGCUGGAGUACGGCAGAGGGAGGUGGAAUUCCGACGUGUAGCAGUGAAAUGCGUAGAGAUGUGGAGGAACACCGAUGGCGAAGGCAGCCUCCUGGGCUAGUACUGACGCUCAUGCACGAAAGCGUGGGGAGCAAACAGG